GUGCCUUUUUUAACUAUAUAUCUGGGGGGGCAAUUGCCCCCCAGAGAAAGAAUUUGCCCCCCUCCCAGUAAAGCCAAUUCUGCCCCCGAAGUGCAAAGCAGAAUUGCUCAUGAUUGCUGUCAGAAUUGCAGUUGAUUUACUUGAUAAUGAGAUUAUGCCCUUCCAUAGCCUCCUCCACAGCCAUCUUGUAUUCAAGGUGACUUUUCCAAUUUAUUUAAUUCCGAGUAGAAAUGUCUGAAAAUUUAUGUCUUCGAUGUACUUUAUAAUCUUCAGAAUUCUGCUAGAUUUCACCUUCAAAAUGCUUGAAAUCGCAAUUCAGGGAACCCAGAUUUCAAAAUUUUCCCGGG
rnacentral:lncRNA from 1 species